rnacentral:lncRNA from 1 species
UUGCAUUCCAUUCCAUUGGAUUGCAUUCCAUUCGAUUCCAUUCCAUUCGAAUCAAUUACAUAGCAAUCCAUUACAUUCGAGUCUAUUCUAUUCCGUUCCAUUCGAUUUCGUUCCAAUCCAUUCGAUUCCAUUCCAUUCGAUUCCAUUCCAUACUAUUGCAUUCCAUUCGAUUACAUUAUAUUCGAAUAAGUUCCAUUCAAGACCAUUUCUUUUGAGUCCAUUCUAUUUGAGUCCAUUCCCUUUGAUUCCAUAACAUUUGAGUCCAUUCAAUUCCAUUCCUUUCGUUUCCAUUCCAUUUGAUGCCAUUCCAUUCAAUUCUGUUCUACUCGACUCCAAUACAUUCAAUUCCAUUCCAUCCGAUUCCAUUACAUUCUUUUCAUUUCUUAUCCAUUUCAAGCCAUUCCACUCCAUUCCAUUCCACUCGUUUCCUUUCCAUUCGAGUCCAUUCCUCUCCAGUCCAUUCCGUUCAAUCCAUUCCAUUCCAGUCCAUUCCAUUCGAGUCCGUUCCAUUCCAGUCCAUUCCAUUCGAGUCAAUUCCAUUCCAUUCGAUGUCUUUCCAUAACGAUCCAUUCCAUUCUAUUCCUUUCGAUUCCAUUCCAUUCUAUUUCAUUCCAUUCGAUUCCCUUCCAUUGGACUCCUUUCCAUUCGAGUGCAUUCCAUUCCGUUCCAUUUCUUUCCGUUCUGUACGAUUCCUACCGUUCGAUUUCAUUUUGUUCCAGUCCAUUCCUUUCGCGUCCAUUCCAUUCCAUUUCACUCCAUUCGAUUCCAUUCCACUCGAUUCCACUUCGUUCCAUUUCAUUGCAUUCCAUUCUAUUCAACUCUAUUGCCUUCCAUUCCAUUCCAUUCGAUUACAUUCCAUGCGAUUCCAUUCGAAAUCGAAUCAAUUACAUUGCAAUCCAUUACUAUUGAGUCCGUUUUAUUCCAGUCCACUGCAUUCUGGUCCAUUCCAUUUGAUUCCAUUCCAUUCUAUUCCAUUCCAUACAGUUGCAUUCCAUUGGAUUCCAUGCUAUAUCUAUAAAUUCAAUUCGAGACCAUUGCUUUUGAGUCCAUUCUAUAUGAUUCCAUUCCAUUCAAGUCCAUUACAUUUGGUUCAAUUCCAUUCCAUUCCAUUCCCUUCCAUUCCAUUCCAGUUGAUAUCAAUCCAUUCGAUUCCAUUCCAUUCGAGCACAUUCCAUUCGAGUCCAUUCCAUUCGAUGCCAUUCCAUUUGAUUCUAUUCCAUUAGUCUCCAUUCAAUUCCAUUAAUCUCCA